UGUAGGGAAAAAAAAUCAUGUUUAGAUUCAAGAUUGGAAGAUGUUCCUGGCCCCAGGCCACCCCUUCUCCAUCUCUGAUCCUGGACAGUCAAGUGUGGGUGAGGCUCUGCCCCAUGCCAAGUGCUAAGAGGAUCCAGGACCAGGAUAAGAUGUCAUCUCUGUCAUUCUCUUGGGCCAUUCUCUAGGUGGCAAGACUCAAUUGUGAUGUGAUCAGAGGCUCACACAAGGCAGCAGGACAUCCUACAGAGCAAGGGAAGACAAGGUCCACGAGCUGUUGGAGCAUAGGGAGCAGAAGUUCAGUGGAGGACUUUGGGCCUCCUAAUGGCACCACCAUCAGCACUGGUGACUGAGGGGACCCUCCUGCUUGGAAACCUGGAGCUGCAUGUGUAUAUGUGGGGUAGGAGGAUAAUGUACAGGGUGGGAUAAAUACUCUGAAAGGUGACAAGAGGGUCCCCUCAGUCUUUCAGUCCACGCACCAAGAUUAAAACAGAGGGAUGCCAGCCAGUGAGACCUCGAGACAGAACUGAUCAAGACUGAGUCAGCGCCGUGGAGCCGCUGCCUCUGCCCCAC